rnacentral:sRNA from 1 species
UCGAACUCAGAGGUCCCCUGCACUUUGCCUCCCGAGUACUGAGAUUAAAGUCAUGAGUACCGCGCCCGGCACGACCUGUGUUUGAGACAGGACCUCCUCAUUAUAUGUCCCUGACUGGCCUGGAACUCGCUCUAUAGAGAGGGCUGGUUUUGAACACGUGGCUGUCUUCCUGUCUCUGCCUCCCUCUCCGGUGCUGGGAUUCCAGGCACGUGCCAUCGCAUCUGGCUUUUCUAUGCUCUUGAGCCUCUCUGCGUCUACUGUGCCUCCCUGGUGCCCCUCUGUGCUCUCUUCCCCCUCCUGGGAUGUCAUACAGGAAGCUUGAAACCAGCCACAAUAGAAGUAUUUACACGAAGGAAAUUGGCGUGUGCUACAGAUCAGACCUGCGUUCUGUCAGCGUCUGUGUUCAUGGAGCUGUGACACCAUUUGUCAAUGCCUGGUUGAUCUGAAAUCACAGAGGGGGAUAGAAGACUACAAGCAGGUGAUGGAGAGACGGCUCACCAUGCAAGCGAGAGGACUUCCAAGUAGACCACCAGCACCCACAGAAACAGUCACGCGCAGUGGUGUGCCUAUGUAAUUCCAGCACCGGGGACACCGAGACAGGAGGAUCCCUGAGGUUUGCUAGCAGUGAUCCUAGCAAAAUCAGUGAGAUCUCCAAGAUCAGCAAGAAACCCUGCCUCAAAAAGUAAGGUAUAGAAUAGCUGAGGAAGACAUCUAACAUUAACUCACUGACCUCUGGCAUCUGUAUCACACAAGGUGGGGGAUGGGGGGAAACAAGUACCCAGUUCCACCAGGGACCCCAGUAGUACCACCCUACUGUUGAUUUUCAGCCUUCAUUUGUCUUUUAUAUAAAUAUUCAUUUAGAAGCAUUGUUUGUGGAAAAUAAAUGGGAAGAUGCCCCCUCUUCACACAUGGGAAGAAUUAAUGUUGUUGAAAUGUGCACAUUAUUGGGGGUUGGAGAGAU